GUAAAAUGAGACAGAUAUGAAAUAAAUAUUGAAGAGAAAAAGAGAAGAGCGAUAAAGUACAGGAGGUACAGCUGUGCAAAACAGACCAUCUGUUACGUCAGUCAUUGUUACGUCUUGGUCAGAGUAAAUUGGUUAUCUUUUAAUUUGUCUGUAUAAUAAUGGUAAAGUCGGUAGCCAGUAUAUUACAAGUAAUGCUGCUUGUACAUCUCAAUGUGAGUCUUGCUACGGACUGGUUUUAUGGAUCGAAAGAUCCAUUUGGUCCAUGUCCGAGAAUACCAGAUCAGAAAUUGUUACAGAAAGAAUUAGAAUACGCAAAGGAGUACAAGAAGUUUUAUAAGGCUCCUAAUGAAAUCUUUAUUACUAGUUAAGGGAAUUCCAUUAAUUUAAUUGCUGUGCAGUAUACGUAUAUGUCUUUCCAAGAAGAAAGAAUGUAUAGUACUGAAUAAAUGUUCUAAUAAGUAGUUA